CGGACGGGUGAGUAAUGUCUGGGAAACUGCCCGAUGGAGGGGGAUAACUACUGGAAACGGUAGCUAACACCGCAUAACGUCGCAAGACCAAAGAGGGGGACCUUAGGGCCUCUUGCCAUCGGAUGUGCCCAGAUGGGAUUAGCUAGUAGGUGGGGUAAUGGCUCACCUAGGCGACGAUCCCUAGCUGGUCUGAGAGGAUGACCAGCCACACUGGAACUGAGACACGGUCCAG
rnacentral:rRNA from 1 species